rnacentral:lncRNA from 1 species
AUGGCUGCCGCCAUGCACCGCCUCGCUCGACGCCUUUCCCGCCUUUUUCCCCGCCCCCUCCCCCCCCUCGAAUCUCGCUCCCCCUCCCCGCCUCGCGUGGCGCAUGCGCAAUGCGGCCGCCGCCCGGCGGCUGCGGGGCGCUGUGGUGGGGAGCGCGGCCGCGUGAGGGGAGGGCGGUGCGAGGAGGCCGCACGGGGACAGCGGGAAGCGGGACCCUUCGCAGGUCGUUUGCUACCUCGGUUACAGUUUCUUCUACAGCAGCACGUUAAUAAUUAGGCGAUUUUGUGUAACCUCUGGAGCUCGCUGGGCCUGACUUCAGCCUGCAUUUGUAACUAGGCGAGAUUUCCUGCCACAGGCGAGGUAAUGCUUGCAAUCAGUAUUGCCUGGCAGCCAUUAGCACAGGCCAUGUGAAAGCUUUGCUGAGCCCAUCAUCGCUUUCUUCUCUGGUAUUCCAAGCAGGAAAAGAGUGGUGUGAUGUCCUCUUUAGCAUAUACAUUAAAAUCUGAAACCUUACUCAUCGCCUGGUUAGGUAGGAUUGCAUACCAAUUUGCUUGUUCACUUGCCUUUUUUUUCUUCUUUAUGGCAGCAAACUCAGGCCUUCCAUUGUCACUUCCAAGGCUGUGAAGAAUGCGGGAAGAUAAUGGCCUUUUCCUCGGCUUCCAUUUCUCAUUCCCCUUGUUUUAUUGCCCGUAUUAUCUUUGUCCCUCUCCUUUUCUCUGUGUAUCGUGCUGCUCUUGGGUAGUCUUUGCUCUGUUCUUGGACACUCCUCGAUACCGUUGCUUGUCCAAGAAGUAACCACCCCAUUUUUUGAAACACUUAAAUGAAGCACACUUUUUUCACAGACUUUAGUAAACUCACUUUCAGUGAAUAAUGCUCGCAGAGGAUGAACGUACUUGAAAUUUUCUAUUGCAAACGACUGGUUCCUUAAAAGGUAGUUUGUUUAUCUUGAGAGGAAAUAGAAAUUGAUGGGCUGCUUAGCACAAUUGAGUCAUUCUGAGGCCUGUUCUAGAACAGUUGCUUGAGCUGAUGCUCCCCACCUCUCUCAGGCCAAGUCUUUGCUGCCCACAGAAUACUUCGGAGGGUUGAUUCCCACGGUGGGUGGAGUUUUGAGCUGAGAUGUCUUGGUAGGGCUGUUACGCCAGGAAGUAAUUGUUAGGACAGAAUAGCAAGGGAUCAUUUCUUGUGCUUCCAAAAAGUGAUCUGGCUCUGAUUCUCAGAGAAAAUUUCUUCAUCUGGAAGUGGUUGUGAGUGAGGUGAGAAUUAUUAUUUUUUUAACUGUAAUCUUACAUAUGUCCAGAGACAAGUGCUCUUUGUUGCUUAUAUCCAAGAAAGUCAGAGACUUGGAUAUUGUACAUGGGCUUUUAGGGAUCCAUAAGAUAACAUUUUGUCUUUUCGUUACCUGUACCUUGGUAUCUAUGCUUGUACCUUCGCACUUGUCCCUGUCUUUCCUGGCCAUAACAAAUUUUGGUAUCUAUACUAUUUAUAAAAUGUCAUCUUCAAACUCUGCCUGCAGCACUUAGGAAUUCGCUCCUAGUUCAGAGAUGCCAGCACUGUUCCUAAAGAUGUGUGAACUGGCAAAAUAUUAAGUGUUCGCGAGCAAAUAAACACCGGGGGGACCCUGCUGAUUUCA